GCAGAGAAGAUUAGCAUGGCCCCUGCGCAAGAAUGACACGCAAAGUCGUGAAGCGUUCCACAUUUUU
rnacentral:snRNA from 1 species